UCUUUCUUUGCUGGCGGCCGGCGCACGGGUGGGUAACACGUAUCCAACCUGCCCUUUACUCGGGGAUAGCCUUUCGAAAGAAAGAUUAAUACCCGAUAGCAUAAUGAUUCCGCAUGGUUUCAUUAUUAAAGGAUUCCGGUAAAGGAUGGGGAUGCGUUCCAUUAGGUUGUUGGUGAGGUAACGGCUCACCAAGCCUUCGAUGGAUAGGGGUUCUGAGAGGAAGGUCCCCCACAUUGGAACUGAGACACGGUCCAA
rnacentral:rRNA from 1 species